CGUGAAAAAAUUAGAGUGUUCAAAGCAGGCAGAUCCAAUUUUCUGCCACCGAAUACAUUAGCAUGGGAUAAUGGAAUAGGACCCUGUCCUCCUAUUUUCAGUUGGUUUUGGCAGCGCGAGGACUAGGGUAAUGAUUAAUAGGGAUAGUUGGGGGCAUUAAUAUUUAAUUGUCAGAGGUGAAAUUCUUGGAUUUAUGAAAGAUUAACUUCUGCGAAAGCAUCUGCCAAGGAUGUUUUCAUUAAUCAAGAACGAAAGUUAGGGGAUCGAAGACGAUCAGAUACCGUCGUAGUCUUAACCAUAAACGAUGCCGACCAGCGAUUAGGAGACGUUGAAUACAAAACACCACCAUCGGUGCGGUCGUCCUUGGCGUCUCGGUCCUUCACGGGGCCGGGGCGCGGGGGUGGCUUAGCCCGGUGGCACCGGUGAAUGACUCCC
rnacentral:rRNA from 1 species